rnacentral:sRNA from 2 species
AUAACAACGAUAAUGGCGACCGCAAGGUCGCCCAUUUUGUCCACCCUUAACACUUUUGGUUUGGCCGCCGAUCAGUUAAGAAGGAGACAAUUCUGGCGUUACGCAUAGCUGGCUGUUAGCUCUAUUCCUUACGUAUCAUGACUAACAGUUUUUGUAACCAAAACCUGAGCUGAGCUCAGGUUUUUUUAU